AUACGGAGGAUGCAAGCGUUAUCCGGAUUUAUUGGGUUUAAAGGGUGCGUAGGCGGAUGAUUAAGCGUGAGGUGAAAUGCCACUGCUCAACAGUGGAACUGCCUCGCGAACUGGUUGUCUUGAAUGCUCCUGCCGUGGGAGGAAUGUGUGGUGUAGCGGUGAAAUGCAUAGAGAUCACACAGAACACCGAUUGCGAAGGCAUCUCACGAAGGGGUGAUUGACGCUGAGGCACGAAAGCGUGGGGAUCAAACAGGAUUAGAUACCCUGGUAGUCCACGCAGUAAACGAUGGUAACUAACCGCUGGGUCGUAGUGAUUCAGUGGCCAAGCGAAAGCGAUAAGUUAUCCACCUGGGGAGUACGACCGCAAGGUUGAAACUCAAAUGAAUUGACGGGG
rnacentral:rRNA from 1 species